AGAGUUUGAUCCUGGCUCAGGAUGAACGCUAGCGGCAGGCUUAAUACAUGCAAGUCGAGGGGCAACAGGGGUAGCAAUACCUGCUGGCGACCGGCAAACGGGUGCGGAACACGUACAGAACCUUCCUUUAAGCGGGGAAUAGCCCGGAGAAAUCCGGAUUAAUACCCCAUAGUAAUAUUUGGUGGCAUCACUUGAAUAUUUAAAGAUUUAUCACUUAAAGAUGGCUGUGCGGCUGAUUAGGUAGUUGGUGUGGGUAACGGCCCACCAAGCCAGCGAUCAGUAACUGGUGUGAGAGCACGACCAGUCACACGGGCACUGAGACACGGGCCCGACUCCUACGGGAGGCAGCAGUAAGGAAUAUUGGUCAAUGGACGCAAGUCUGAACCAGCCAUGCCGCGUGAAGGAUGAAGGUCCUCUGGAUUGUAAACUUCUUUUAUGUGGGAAGAAAUGCAUUCUUUAUAGAGUGUUUGACGGUACCAUAGGAAUAAGCACCGGCUAACUCCGUGCCAGCAGCCGCGGUAAUACGGAGGGUGCGAGCGUUAUCCGGAUUCACUGGGUUUAAAGGGUGCGUAGGUGGGGAAGUAAGUCAGUGGUGAAAUCUCCGUGCUUAACAUGGAAACUGCCAUUGAUACUAUUUUUCUUGAAUUUUCCGGAGGUUAGCGGAAUAUGUCAUGUAGCGGUGAAAUGCUUAGAUAUGACAUAGAACACCAAUUGCGAAGGCAGCUAACUACAGGGAUAUUGACAUUGAGGCACGAAAGCGUGGGGAUCAAACAGGAUUAGAUACCCCAGUAGUCC
rnacentral:rRNA from 1 species